UAAAUAAGGGCGAAAAGUUUGAGGUGGGGGACUCUUCAGGACUGGACUCUCUCUCUCUCUGGAUGCAUCUUGUGUUUCCCAGCAGCAGACGGGCUGCUGCUAUGCCACUCGAGAGCCACGCUCAGCUUUGUUUACAGCUUUUACACUAGCUCUUUCGGAAGGCACAAAUGAUUUCUCAGCAAUAAAAUCCCCAGUGGACACAUCUGUUGGCUCGGAUAAUCAGCACCAAUGUUAUUUUUUGAGUAUGAGGCUUUGAUGGAUCCGGAUCUGGAAAGGAGAGUCACCUGUAAUCAACACGUUAAAUGAAAGACUUGACAAGCUUGCCACUGAAAAACAAUCACGCCC